ensembl:lncRNA
AAAGACUAGUCAUUAAUUUGACUGAUCAGAAGAUAAAAGCUUAGUAUAUUAAACCUUUUACACCUGUAUUUUGUAGUGUUAUAGCAUGAAAUGAAACACAAACUGAGUUUCAGCACUUCUUGCUGUGGCUCCCAACUUUUAGCAUCACUCACUUUGUGGAGCAAACACGCUGAACAAACUCGUGAAAAAAAAGAAGCUCUAUGCAUGCACUUUGCUAGAGAGUUGGCGCAUCAUCACGUUCACACACACGCGCACACGAAAACUGAUUUCGCGUAAUUAUGUUCUAAACCACUUUAUGAAUGAUUUAGUGGCUUGUGGUAAAAUAUUUGGUAAAAUGAUCACCGGCCACCUACCUUGAAGCAGCUGUUGUCCUCUGAUUCCUCCUGAGAAAGGAUGCGUCUAACUUCUGGGACUCUGGUCCCGAUCCACAGAGGAAAAAAGUAGACACAGAGCUUGAGCAGCGACGACUCUCAUGAAUCCGCUUAAAAUGGUCCUCAUAAGCCUAUUUUUGUUUGUUUGUUUGUUUGUUUUUUAAAGGGGGAAAAAGAAUAAUAAAAAAAAAGUCGUGCCAGUCCUUUGUAUGUGUGCUCAGUUUGGAUGCUUCAAAAAGACAACCGGGAUUGCUUGUCUUCUCUAACUUCUAACGGUUUGUCUGCAGCCUUUCCAAGUCACUUGCAUCUCUGGUGUCCAAAACCAAACAUCAUAUCAGUCAGCUUUGGCAUCAUUCAUAUAAAAAAGUAUAAAUAAAACAUAGACUAUAAAAAUAUGAUAAAUAUUCUUCUCCAUCAACGCCUGUUUCAUUCAUUCUUAAUAAAACGAAAAAAAAAAUUAAGAUAAAGCAUCAACUUUGGCAGCUUCAGUCACAUUCAAAAGUUUUUUAAAAAAAACAAAAAAGUUUCAGCAAACAAUAAAAUAUGAGCCAGAGCUUUUUUUGUAUUCUUCCUGUCUUAAGGGGCGUUAAGGUAAGUUUUUCUAGAGUUUCCUCCGAGCAUCCAGGUUACACAGAGCGCACAGAAGUCUCUCUGCCGCUGUUUCAGCUGUCUAAUUCCUUCCAGACGGGUGUGUGUGCAUGUGUGCGAGUAUGUCUGUGUGUGUGGACCCUCCUUUAUGGCUCCUGCGGCUCCCAAACCCCUUUUACCGGGCAACAGAUUGGCGUGUUGAUUUAAUAGGAGGGAAGGUUUGGG